GGAUCGCAAGACCUUGCGCUUUUGGAGCGGCCGAUGUCUGAUUAGCUAGUUGGUGAGGUAAAGGCUUACCAAGGCUUCGAUCAGUAGCUGGUCUGAGAGGACGACCAGCCACACUGGGACUGAGACACGGCCCAGACUCCUACGGGAGGCAGCAGUGGGGAAUUUUGGACAAUGGGGGCAACCCUGAUCCAGCCAUGCCGCGUGAGUGAAGAAGGCCUUCGGGUUGUAAAGCUCUUUCAGCCGGAACGAAAAGGUUACGGUUAAUACCCGUGACUAAUGACGGUACCGGAAGAAGAAGCACCGGCUAACUACGUGCCAGCAGCCGCGGUAAUACGUAGGGUGCGAGCGUUAAUCGGAAUUACUGGGCGUAAAGCGUGCGCAGGCGGUUUUGUAAGUCAGAUGUGAAAUCCCCGGGCCUAACCUGGGAACUGCGUUUGAA
rnacentral:rRNA from 1 species